ACAGGUAAGCGGAUGGCCGCGGCUGCGUUCUGCGCAGCUGAGGAAAGUCCGGACUCCGCAGGGCAGGAUGCCCGCUUGAAAGGGCGGGAGACCCGGACCAGAAAGCCGGGUCAUGGAAAGUGCCACAGAAAUGAUACCGCCUGCCCUCCGCAAGAGGGUAGGUAAGGGUGAAAUGGUGGGCCCGGGAUCAACCGGGGUAACGUAAGAGCCCACCGCCCUGAGAGUAAUCGAGGGGGCAUGGUAAACCCCAUCCGGAGCAAGACCAAAUAGGGGGUGAGAGGCUGCCCGUCUCGACGUCCGGAGCGAUCCGGAGGAAUGAACCCCGGGUUGGUCGCAUAGAUAAAUGGCCAUCGCACCGCGUGAUGCGGGAGCACAGAAUCCGGCUUAUAGCUUACCUGCGGUC
rnacentral:RNase_P_RNA from 1 species